UGGAGCAUUUGAAUAAAGAGGGCAGUGAGGCUGGAGUGGAAUGGAUGACAGGAAGAGUAGAAGGGAUGAGGCUGGAGAGAGGUGUCCAGGCUCAGAGCAUACACAGAGGGCGUAAACCAUGAGAGGGACUUUCAUUUUAGCUCUGAGCUGAGAAACCAUUGGAGGAUUUUGGACCGAGGGCUGGCAGGAUUUGACCUAACAUGUUUAUGAUGCCAUUAGACAUCCAAGAGGGAAUGUCAAAUACAGAGUUGGACUGGAGGAUUCAGGAGUAAACCUACCUGGCUUCUCAUCCCAGCCCCACCAUUUACUUACCAGCUGUGUGGUAACUUCAUCAAGUUGGCUUCUGUAUCUACAAAAUACGGAGGGAGGGUAGUAGUAAUUACAGCAGACAUCUAUGGAAUGUUGGCUCCGAAUGUACCGGGGAUCCUAAGUCCUUUACCUGUGUUGUUAAGUCAAGCAUCAAUUCCACUGUUAUUCCC
rnacentral:lncRNA from 1 species